UAAAAGUGGGGAGGAAAAUGCGCGUUAAAAAUAACAAUAUACUCGUAGUCUUACACUCACAGUCAGCAGUCACCCCUUUCACGCUGACGUCAUGAAAGUUGCACGUUGCGUAUAUAGGUCACAAUGACUAGAGCGCAGUCUCGUGCUCGACGUUUCGCCAUUCAUACUUUUUUGUACGGUCGUUUAUCGACGCCGUCCCGCGUCCUCUUGAUAAAAACGACGCCUUGCCGCGCCGCUCCGCCGCCUGCUCCGCAAGCUGAGACGCAAAAAGUAAAUACUAGUUUGCGCCAGUACAUAGUGGCAGUAUUUUGUUAUCAGUUCAAUUUAAAACAGCUGUGUUUCCUUCUGCGCUCUGUUGAUUUCGCACACAUUCGCCAAACGUACUAUUUUUUUUCACUACUUUCGAGUUGAAUUUUUUCGAAAAAAUUGUGCCAUUUUUUCAAAUUAUUUACCUGUAACAGAGAAUAAAACGAGGGGUUUAGUGAUCUUCGUCCGUAAUAACAGAAAAUCAACGUACACACGUGUAAACUACCCCAGUACCUCUACACAGAAUGACUACUCCGAACAUAACGCCUCAAAAACUGAGCAUCACAGCCACGCCAUUCUUAACGAACGCCGCCCAACAACAAUCUCAACCCGAAUCCUUAUACAGAGAGUCGCAAAUCGAGCCAGGCAAAUGCAGCUGGAUACGAAUAUGGCGUUUAUGUAGACUACUAUUGCACAGCUACGUUUAAAUAAUUCAUUCGUACUGUAAUUUAAUCGUGUCAAGUUUCACCUAUACAGUACCUAUGUAUUAACAAUUUUAUUACCUUUACGUACAUGUACGUUCGUAUGUACCUAUAAUACGUACAUACGUACGUAUUACGUAUUCUCUACAAAAUGCAGCUUCUUAUAUUCUUAGAAUAGAGAAGCAUUGGUGUAGAUUCCAAAGAAUCACCGUACAUUUUUUUUUCAACGUUACCCUUUUACCAUUAUUACCUGUUUCAAUUAUAAAUUUUACCUUAUACUUUAAUUACCUACCAAUUAGACCUAUACCUAUAUACUACCUACUUAACCCACCAAAGUGUAUGUACUAGUGAGCAAGAAGUGACAAACUAUACGCGUAACUCUGCAGUCCGCAAUGCGGAUUUACCAUUUUAAUUGCAAAUCUAGUGUAAAUAGGCCUAUAUAGGAUGCCAUAUUUGUACUGUACUUGUCUUAUAUUUUAGUUUGAUUUUAUUCCUGUUCACCUACUUGUACACCCUUCCUGAAAUUCCCACCUUUUAGUAGAAAAUUCCUUUUUAUCGAGUAGUGUCGUAGAGCAUUAUACUUAGUAUAAUCUGGUUGUAGUGCGAUGCAAUGCAUGUGUCACAAGUAGUCUCUUAUAUAGUCAAAAUUACCACUACUUAUCUUUUCUGUACAAGCGACCAGACAACCAAAAAAUUCAACUUAUCAAGGGAACGUUUUAUCGACUCGUAAUUAGAAUUAAGUGUCUUUUUUUCAAGUUACGAUUGCCUAAUCGAAUUUUUCAUUAAUUUUACCUACCAAAAUUCGAACUGAAAUUUGUAUGUAUUUUGAAAUCUUGAAAAAAUUUCACUACCUCGAAAUUUGCGAUUUAGAUGCUCAAAUUCUCAGUACAGAUUAUCAAAUGAAACUUUGUACAUACGUAGCUUGAAAGUACUCAAAUCUAAAUACGAGUCCACCUUCGUUAGCCUAUAUAAUCCAUCGAUGAUAAGGCAUAACGAUCGCGUUAUCAUACCCCUCGGAGAAUGAGGACGAGAUUAAAAUUUACGCUACCUGUUUUAGGGGAAACACUGCCUUCAAAACAUCAACAAACAAAAAAGUGACAAAAAAUCGAUUUGUUUUUUUCUUUUUCAUUUCUAAACUCGUCAUGUGCAUCACCAUCACGUUAUGCACUAAUAUAAUUAUAUUAUACUUACCUAAUUACUCGAGUAAUUAGGUAAUAGGUAUACAGAGAGUGAAAUUUUUUCGUAUGUCGUAUCAUCUUUCAAAUAAUAAUACCUGUAACUUAUAAGUUUCAUUAUCCAGGUCUCACUUUGAUUGAUACAUUUUAUAUAGUUCUUCCAUUUUAUUCGUUUGUUUUUUUUUUUAAAUUUAAUACUUACUCGUGUACUAAAAUAUCUAUAUAAUUGAGUGAGAAACCGUAUUUUUUUUUUCGUUUUGUUUUGAAUUAACUUUAAAUUACCUAAUAUUCUAAUACGUAGUUAUGGGAAUUCGAUACUUGUUUUUUUUUGUUUUUUUUAGGCUAUUAUUUUUUUUUUCAGUUGGAUUGCUUUUUAAAAUAUAUAAUAUUUCUUCCUCUUUCAAAGCCAUGAUAAUUUCUUUUAAUUAUUAUUUUCGGAGCACCUUGUAUUCCACCAAAUAAAAAUUCUCGUCUUUUAUUCCUUUUUGUGAUCUCUACAAAUAAUGUAAAUGGUAGGUACAUGCAAGAUACAUAUGCAUUUUUAAAAAUGCGUCCACGCUUUGGCAUUUUAAAAUCUGUCUACGUUAACUCAACUCUAGGCUAGGUAUGAUAAAAUUUAAUCCAUUUUUUUGUUUCUUUCAAUCGUUAUCACUGCCUUAUUAAUUUACAUUUCAUCUUCGUAGCAUCUCUACGUACGAACUCGUAUUUUCUUUUGUAGUUGUCGAAUAUCUAUGAAUUUAACCUAGCUACAAAAUAUGAUAUGACCCAUAGUGUUUAUAUUUUUAUUAAAUUAUGGAGUUUCAAAAUUUAUUACCAUCGUUGGGCGCAUGAAUAGCUGAAUUAAUAUGCGAAUGCUACGUAGAAAAUAAUAUCGUUGCCUAUAAUUACAUACCUAUUGGCUAUUAUAAUAUCGUGUACCUACUUUAGAUUUUUUUUGUGUUAUUUUAUUUAUUUAUGUAUUUUUUUUUUAAUUUGUCAAUUUCUUAUAAUAUCAUUGUUAUUAUAUACCGGAUGUGAGAAAAGUCAUCUAUUAUACAUUAUUGUAUUGCUUUAACACGUUUAUCUUACGAAAUAAAUUUAGUUUGAAAUUUCAA